rnacentral:rRNA from 1 species
UACGUAGGGGGCAAGCGUUGUCCGGAAUUAUUGGGCGUAAAGAGCUCGUAGGCGGUGUGUCGCGUCGGCCGUGAAAACCUGCAGCUUAACUGUGGGCGUGCGGUCGAUACGGGCAUCACUGGAGUUCGGCAGGGGAGACUGGAAUUCCUGGUGUAGCGGUGAAAUGCGCAGAUAUCAGGAGGAACACCGGUGGCGAAGGCGGCGACCUGGUCCGAUACUGACGCUGAGGCGCGAAAGCGUGGGGAGCAAACAGG